rnacentral:RNase_P_RNA from 1 species
CGAGCAGUAUAAACGGUCGCUGCUGUCUAUGACAGGAGAGGAAAGUCCGGGCUUCAUAGGGCAGGAUGCCUGAUAACGUCAGGUGGGAGUGAUCCUAAGGAAAGUGCAACAGAAAGUAUACCGCCUUUAGUAAGGUAAGGGUGAAAUGGCAGUGUAAGAGACUACCGGCAAUCUGGUAACAGAGUGCGCAUUGUAAACCCCAUCCGAAGCAAGUCCAUGAAGGAGUAAUAUGGCUGCCCGUCAUGCUCCGGGUAGGACGCUUGAGUUAUAUGGUGACAUAUAAUCUAGAUAGAUGACCGUUCUCGACAUAACCCGGCUUAUAGUACUGCUCAUUUA